UACAGAGGUCCCGAGCGUUGUUCGGAUUCACUGGGCGUAAAGGGUGCGCAGGUGGCCAGGCAAGUCGGAUGUGAAAGCUCCGGGCUCAACCCGGAAACCGCAUUGGAAACUGCCUGGCUGGAGGUUUGGAGGGGGGACUGGAAUUCUCGGUGUAGCAGUGAAAUGCGUAGAGAUCGAGAGGAACACCAGUGGCGAAGGCGAGUCCCUGGACAACACCUGACACUGAGGCACGAAAGCCGGGGGAGCAAACAGG
rnacentral:rRNA from 1 species